rnacentral:ncRNA from 2 species
GAUUCGAUGCAGGGGUGCCUGCGGCGCGUCCAAAUCGCGUUGGCAUGGCUGAGAGGGCAUUCGGCCUAACUCUUUGAACCUGUCAGUUAGUGCUGGCGUAGGGAGCAUCUCAGGUUCAUUC